rnacentral:rRNA from 4 species
GGCGACGAUGCAUAGCCGACCUGAGAGGGUGAUCGGCCACACUGGGACUGAGACACGGCCCAGACUCCUACGGGAGGCAGCAGUAGGGAAUCUUCCACAAUGGACGAAAGUCUGAUGGAGCAACGCCGCGUGAGUGAUGAAGGUUUUCGGAUCGUAAAACUCUGUUGUAAGGGAAGAACACGUACGAGAGGGAAUGCUCGUACCUUGACGGUACCUUACGAGAAAGCCACGGCUAACUACGUGCCAGCAGCCGCGGUAAUACGUAGGUGGCAAGCGUUGUCCGGAAUUAUUGGGCGUAAAGCGCGCGCAGGCGGCCUUUUAAGUCUGAUGUGAAAGCCCCCGGCUCAACCGGGGAGGGCCAUUGGAAACUGGAAGGCUUGAGUACAGAAGAGAAGAGUGGAAUUCCACGUGUAGCGGUGA